AUUGAACGCUGGCGGCAUGCCUUACACAUGCAAGUCGAACGGCAGCACGGGUGCUUGCCCCUGGUGGCGAGUGGCGAACGGGUGAGUAAUACAUCGGAACAUGUCCUGUAGUGGGGGAUAGCCCGGCGAAAGCCGGAUUAAUACCGCAUACGAUCUACGGAUGAAAGCGGGGGACCUUCGGGCCUCGCGCUAUAGGGUUGGCCGAUGGCUGAUUAGCUAGUUGGUGGGGUAAAGGCCUACCAAGGCGACGAUCAGUAGCUGGUCUGAGAGGACGACCAGCCACACUGGGACUGAGACACGGUCCAGACUCCUACGGGAGGCAGCAGUGGGGAAUUUUGGACAAUGGGCGAAAGCCUGAUCCAGCAAUGCCGCGUGUGUGAAGAAGGCCUUCGGGUUGUAAAGCACUUUUGUCCGGAAAGAAAUCCUUGGCCCUAAUACGGUCAGGGGAUGACGGUACCGGAAGAAUAAGCACCGGCUAACUACGUG
rnacentral:rRNA from 1 species